rnacentral:rRNA from 1 species
CAGCCGCCGCGGGAAUACGUAGGGUGCAAGCGUUAAUCGGAAUUACUGGGCGUAAAGCGUGCGCAGGCGGUUAUAUAAGACAGAUGUGAAAUCCCCGGGCUCAACCUGGGAACUGCAUUUGUGACUGUAUAGCUAGAGUACGGCAGAGGGGGAUGGAAUUCCGCGUGUAGCAGUGAAAUGCGUAGAUAUGCGGAGGAACACCGAUGGCGAAGGCAAUCCCCUGGGCCUGUACUGACGCUCAUGCACGAAAGCGUGGGGAGCAAACAGGAUUAGAUACCCCGGUAGUCCCUGUCUCUUAUAC